rnacentral:tRNA from 2 species
AGCGGGGUAGAGCAGACAGGAGUGCUCGAUGGGCUCAUAACCCAUAGGUCGGCGGUUCAAAUCCUCCCCCCGCUA